UAAUACGGAGGGUGCAAGCGUUAUCCGGAAUCAUUGGGUUUAAAGGGUCCGUAGGCGGGCAAUUAAGUCAGAGGUGAAAUCCCACAGCUCAACUGUGGAACUGCCUUUGAUACUGGUUGUCUUGAGUUAUAGUGAAGUAGAUAGAAUAUGUAGUGUAGCGGUGAAAUGCUUAGAGAUUACAUAGAAUACCGAUUGCGAAGGCAGUCUACUAACUAUAUACUGACGCUAAUGGACGAAAGCGUGGGGAGCGAACAGGAUUAGAUACCCUGGUAGUCCACGCCGUAAACGAUGGUCACUAGUUGUUGGGGUCUUGUACCUCAGUGAUUAAGAGAAAUUGAUAAGUGACCCACCUGGGGAGUACGAUCGCAAGAUUG
rnacentral:rRNA from 2 species